rfam:Eutrema salsugineum unplaced genomic scaffold scaffold_21, whole genome shotgun sequence.
AAUCCAUGAUGAGGGCAGUCUCUCUCAUACUCUUUAAAUCGCUCCCAGGCUUCAUAGAAUGAUUCUACUGGACCUUGUUGGAAACUUUGUAUCUUCUUUCUCAGCU